rnacentral:rRNA from 1 species
AGUGAACGCUGGCGGUAGGCCUAACACAUGCAAGUCGAACGGCAGCACAGUAAGAGCUUGCUCUUACGGGUGGCGAGUGGCGGACGGGUGAGGAAUACAUCGGAAUCUACUUUUUCGUGGGGGAUAACGUAGGGAAACUUACGCUAAUACCGCAUACGACCUACGGGUGAAAGCAGUGGAUCUUCGGACCUUGCGCGAUUGAAUGAGCCGAUGUCGGAUUAGCUAGUUGGCGGGGUAAAGGCCCACCAAGGCGACGAUCCGUAGCUGGUCUGAGAGGAUGUCCGCCCCAACUGAACUUGAGCCGCGUCCCGACCCCUUAGGGAAGGCGCAGGUGGGAACAAUAGGCCAAGGGGGGCAACCUUGACCAACCAUACCGCGUUGGGUAAAGAAGCCCUUGGGGUGGAAAGCCCCUUUUUUGGGAAAAAAAAGCAGCCGGCUAAAACCCCGCUGUUCUGACGGUACCCAAAGAAUAAGCACCGGCUAACUUCGUG